rnacentral:rRNA from 1 species
UACGAAGGGGGCGAGCGUUGUCCGGAAUUAUUGGGCGUAAAGGGCUCGUAGGCGGUUUGUCGCGUCGGGAGUGAAAACCCAGGGCUUAACUCUGGGCUUGCUUUCGAUACGGGCAGACUAGAGGUAUGCAGGGGAGAACGGAAUUCCUGGUGUAGCGGUGAAAUGCGCAGAUAUCAGGAGGAACACCGGUGGCGAAGGCGGUUCUCUGGGCAUUACCUGACGCUGAGGAGCGAAAGUGUGGGGAGCGAACAGG